GACGUAGGGCGCGAGCGUUGUCCGGAUUUAUUGGGCGUAAAGAGCGUGUAGGCGGUCAUACAGGUCAGCUGUGAAAACUCGAGGCUCAACCUCGAGACGUCGGUUGAAACCGUAUGGCUAGAGUCCGGAAGAGGAGAGUGGAAUUCCCGGUGUAGCGGUGAAAUGCUUAGAUAUGUCAUAGAACACCGAUUGCGAAGGCAGCUCACAAAGCCAUUAUUGACGCUGAGGCACGAAAGCGUGGGGAUCAAACAGG
rnacentral:rRNA from 1 species